CCUACGGGUGGCUGCAGUGGGGAAUAUUGCGCAAUGGCCGAAAGGCUGACGCAGCGACGCCGCGUGGGGGAUGAAGCAUUUCGGUGUGUAAACCCCUGUUGCUCGGGACGAACAACUGGAUUCUUCCAGUCUGACGGUACCGGGUGAGGAAGCACCGGCUAACUCCGUGCCAGCAGCCGCGGUAAUACGGAGGGUGCGAGCGUUGUCCGGAAUCACUGGGCGUAAAGGGCGCGUAGGCGGUCUGCUAAGCGUGCGGUGAAAGCCCGGGGCUCAAC
rnacentral:rRNA from 1 species